CCCCCACAUACUGAAUUUCAAGAUGGCUGCCGCUGUGUUUCUCUGAACUCCUGGCUCAUUCCCCAUCUAAUAAAUAUCUGAGGAAUCCUUCCUAGAACCAUAAUUGUCCACCACUGGCUGAACCAAGAAGUGCCUCAACAACAGUUUACAGCAGUAUUAAGGACAUACAUAGUAUAUUGUGGAAGAUUCAGACUCUGUCUUGCUGAUCUCAAAGGUCUUAGUAGGCCCUGAUGGCCGAGGAUGAAGCCAUGCCACCCAGAGCUUCUAAAAACACCACUGAGGAAUAUGUCACCUUUGCUCAGGUUCCUGAAUUGUGGGACCACAGUACAACAGGAGAAACACGUUUAAAAUGUGUGCACAGAUCAUUGUAGGUUCCUCAGAAUCUUUUUCAGGAGGACUGAUGAUCUGUUGAAGCAAACCUAUAAUCUCAAGAUGGAAGAUGAGCCCUGACUGGGAAACACCAUUACACCCCUGACUGCCGAAGCCGAUGGGUGCAAUUCUUCAUUGUAAAGCCCUUUAAGACUAAAGGUGAAAUCGACUCCAGCCCAGCGAGCAUGUUUUCAAUGGGCUCCGGUUAAGAUAAAUAUCCCAAAGGAUAAGAUCAGCUUAGGAACUAUAGGAACUCAUUCUCACCCUCAUCACCUUUAUUUCAUCCUGGCUGACCAAUAAUAGCAUGUGUAUAACUUCAGAUCACAGGGAUCAGUGAUGAUUAUUUGGUUUUAAUUUGAAGUUGAAACCCAUUAAGGUGAAUGAUUAUCAGAGGGUAUCACUUGACAACACAGCUAAAUCAUUCAUUUGAAUUUCAAAAAACGACUCCAUAAAUAUUGCUUUAUGUUGAACUAACUCUGUGCACUUCAAUGAUAUUACUUGACAAUGAAAACACUCAGCUCUCUUAUCCAACUCUUAAAUCUGACUUCAAAAUAAGAGUGACUAUCAUAUAUCAAUUGUGACAUGUCAUACUAUUGGGUACGCAGAAUAAAAGGACAAUGCACUACCUGUUAUAUUCCCUUUUCCUUGUUUUCUAUGAAUUUUACCAUGUAUGUAUUUAUUUUGAAAAGAAACAUUAAAAAAGAAAAACUAAUUAACUAUGUUUUAUUCACAGGUCUUUUUAAUGAAUCAUGUUAUUUUUUAUAGGGGCAACCAAGCAUUACCUUUUCAUAAUUUCACUGGGUAAUUAAUACUUUUCAAAUAGCAAUGAAUUAAUAUACUCUGGCAUUAUUAUAAAAAGCUACAGUUGUAAUUGGCUUUAAAAGACAAAAAAAAGUGAUUUACUCUUAAAAGUAUUUGAUGAAAAAAUACCAGUGUAUUGAAAGAUAGAAAUAUCAAUUUUCAGUUUGAAACUCUGGGUGGCAGUGUUGAUGCAACGAGACAUAACACGUCUUAGGAAAGUAAAUCCACGUCUCCUCUUCACAUGCCGACCAAACACAUAUUUAAAUACUACUUCGUUUUCUGUUCUGUCGGUUGUAUAUUUCAUUGAUUUUUAUAUAAAAUAUGUUACAUUUAUAUUUUGAUCCCUCUUUGAAAC